GGGGCUAUAGCUCAGCUGGGAGAGCGCUUGAAUGGCAUUCAAGAGGUCAGGGGUUCGAUUCCCCUCGGCUCCA
rnacentral:tRNA from 1 species